rnacentral:lncRNA from 1 species
AUGAGGGUCUGCCACCCACUGGCAGUGACCCUGGACCUGUCACUUCCCCCUCAGACCCUACUCCCUCACCUUCAGAAACGGGUCAGUCUGCUAGAGGUUUUCCAAAACUCCUUCCAGCCAAGAGCCCCCAAGGCCAGUCAAGUGCCCCAGGGUGACUGCCACCAACGAAGGCGGCCACCGGCUGGCUUUCAUUCCCCCACCCUUCCCAGUCACAUAGUCCACAGCCAGCCCUGGUCCCCCGUCCCAGAGCGGAAACCGUCACCAAGGGCAAGGCGGCAGCCCCAGCGCUGGAGGCCGAGGCCUGAGAACAUGCCUUGGCCUCAUUCGAGACAAAACAAAGGACACAAGACUGAGGGUUAUCACAGAGGCAUGCGUCAGUGUACAGGUGACAGCCAAAGCUUCAUGGGGCACCUGCAGACCUCCAGACUGCAUCCUCUCCUGCCAGCUUCACCACUGGGAGCCAGCGGUUGCCAGAUGGGGCCUCACCCUCACCCUAACGGCUGGCAGCGGAGAUGGAACCGGAAGUGGGAGCCGCCCGAGCCAUCCCAGAGGUGCCCAGCUGCUCUCACACAGGGUGAUGCAGAGGUGACGCAGCCCUGUGUGCAUCCCCAGCACCGGAAAACAAAACCAACAAGUGCUCACCGAGGCGCCCUGAGGGCAGCAGCUGCUCAGCACCGUGUGACAGGAUGCAAUCACAGUGGCAGUAGCUCCAGCUGCACUGGCUCACUGUCUCUGAAAGCGAGCCCAGAGAAGCUGAGUGGCCUUCAGAUCCUGGAUUUAUGGGCCCUGGCUCUUGGUUUGGUUUUUGGAUUUGUUUGUUUGUUUGUGACAGGAUCUUGCUUUGUAGUUCAGGCUGGCCUUGAACUUUCAGCAAUCCUUCUGCCUCGGCCGCCCCAUUGCUGAGAUGCACCUGCCUGGCCAUCGCACGGUGUCCCAGACCGCAACUUCUCCUGCUCUCCCCAGAGUGCACAGAGCAGAGCCUCUCACAGAUGCCUGGCCUCGGUGGUCUGGCCAGGGCGGGGGUGUGAGUUCACUCUGGGUGAGUGACUGAAGGGUUGUCCCUUCCAGAUGUGCCAGAAAGAACUUCAAGUCCUAUUUUCUGAAAACAAAACACUAGCUAAAGAAUCCAAAAGAGGAAUGAGAAAGCCAGAAGUUGUGUAAUAGGAAAAGUUGUACCAGCAUCUUCAUAUCAUUGAGAAACUUUUUGCAGCGUGGGCACUUACAAAAAGCACAUGGCAGAUAACUCUUAUUCCUUGGAGAAAAUUCCCUUCAUUAGAACCUGGCAUUCUGUUUUCACCUUAAAAGAGCCAUUUUACAUUGUCUCAGAUUUGGAAACUUUGUACAAACUAUCCACAAUAAAACAAAAUAAA